ensembl:lncRNA
UUUUUCGGUCAUGACAAGCUGUGGCCUCACCAAGCAUACUUCACCCUGAAGUUUGGCUGGGAAGGAGAUCACAGCGUGAUGUAGAGGAAACGCAUUUAUGUGCUCAGGAGGAAGACGAGAGAGAGAAAAGGAAGGUCAGGAGGGGGAGAAUCAAGAUGCCAAGGAGGGGCCAAGGCUGUCGAGCUCUCAGGAGGGGUUGCCCUUGGGCAGUGUCUCCAAAAUCACAUCCAAGUACUCUCUCCAUUUGACAAGGCCCACAAGAGAAGCAAGCUGUAUGCAUCUCCAGGAAAGCAGGCGAG